GCGGCAGUUGCUGGCCUAGACUCACUUCUUCAGGAGGGAGGUUCGCCCUGGAAAGCUGAUCUGCAUUUCUGCUGGGAUCGAUGCGGUGGAGACGGAAUACAUUGAGUUCUCCAGUUGAAAGAAGAAAGCUUAACCUGGCUUCUGAAUUCCAAGAGCACACUGCGCAGUGGGUCUAAAUCAGCCUCUGGUUAUGAAGGGCCUGGAGCCAGAUGUGAGCUUCUUGGAGCUUUUGGCAGUUUCUAGUGGAGGCCAGCUAUCCUUGUCAUCUACCUUGGCCCCUCUGCAGGGGAUGAGCUCAGGGCUACACUUUUUCUUCCAGGUUCUCAUGGUGUGGUGUGGGCUCCAUUUCUUUCUCUUUGAACCUCACUUCAACAUGAUUAGAGUGACUGAAGGUAAAGAAAUAGGAACUGUUUUACUGUAAAUAAGUUAGUCCCUGCUA